GACGUAGGAUGCAAGCGUUGUCCGGAUUCAUUGGGCGUAAAGAGUUCGUAGGGGGUUUGUUAAGUUUGGUGUGAAAUCUCCCGGCUCAACUGGGAGGGUGCGCCGAAUACUGAAUGACUAGAGUGCGGGAGAGGUGAGUGGAAUUCCUGGUGUAGCGGUGAAAUGCGUAGAUAUCAGGAGGAACACCGGUGGUGUAGACGGCUCACUGGACCGUAACUGACGCUGAAACACGAAAGCGUGGGUAGCAAACAGG
rnacentral:rRNA from 1 species